UUUUCCUGAUUGGUAGACUAAGGCUCAGAGAGAGGAGGCGGCAUUACCCAAAGCCGCACAGCUGGUAAAUGGGAAAAGAGGGGUUUAAAGGUACGUGCCCUGGAGGAGGCCAAUGCUGACCUGGAGGUGAAGAUCCAUGACUGGUACCAGAAGCAGACCCCAACCAGCCCAGAAUGCGACUACAGCCAAUACUUCAAGACCAUUGAAGAGCUCCGGGACAAGGUAUGAGAAUGAGCUGGCCCUGCGCCAGGGCGUCGAGGCUGACGUCAACGGCUUGCGCCGAGUCCUGGAUGAGCUGACCCUGGCCAGGACUGACCUGGAGAUGCAGAUCGAGGGCCUGAAUGAGGAGCUAGCCUACCUGAAGAAGAACCACGAGGAGGAGAUGAAGGAGUUCAGCAGCCAGCUGGCCGGCCAGGUCAAUGUGGAGAUGGACGCAGCACCGGGUGUGGACCUGACCCGUGUGCUGGCAGAGAUGAGGGAGCAGUACGAGGCCAUGGCGGAGAAGAACCGCCGGGAUGUCGAGGCCUGGUUCUUCAGCAAGACUGAGGAGCUGAACAAAGAGGUGGCCUCCAACACAGAAAUGAUCCAGACCAGCAAGACGGAGAUCACAGACCUGAGACGCACGAUGCAGGAGCUGGAGAUCGAGCUGCAGUCCCAGCUCAGCAUGAAAGCUGGGCUGGAGAACUCACUGGCCGAGACAGAGUGCCGCUAUGCCACGCAGCUGCAGCAGAUCCAGGGGCUCAUCGGUGGCCUGGAGGCCCAGCUGAGUGAGCUCCGAUGCGAGAUGGAGGCUCAGAACCAGGAGUACAAGAUGCUGCUUGACAUAAAGACACGGCUGGAGCAGGAGAUCGCCACUUACCGCAGCCUGCUCGAGGGCCAGGAUGCCAAGUAGGCGCCUGGGCACAGGGGAAGGAGUGAUGAGGGCUGCUUGUGGCUGGGGUGCAAGGUCAUCCUAAGGGAAUGGCAGGGUGUCCCUAAGCAGCCUUGAGGGACUGUGAAAAGAGAACUGAGCAAGGAGGGAGGAUCUGGACUCCGCACUCUGGUCCUUGGCUGUUACCUGGGACAGGUCACUUCCUCUCUCUGGAUCCGUGUUUCUUCUGUAAAUGAUAGAGGCUGGGCUAGUGAUAGUUAAGAUCUAGUGCUCAUUCCAUUCUCUGCAUGAAAUAGAUGGGUAUUCUUGUAGUUCAGAAUCUUGACCAGGCUCGGUGGCUCAUGCCUGUAAUCCCAGCACUUUGGGAGUCCAAGGCGGGUGGAUCACUUGAGGUCAGGAGUUCGAGACCAGCAUGGCCAAUAUGGUGAAACCCCGUCUCUACUAAAAAUACAAAAAUUAGCUGGGCGUGGUGGCAGGUGCCUGUAAUCCCAGCUACUCGGGAGGCUGAGGCACAAGAAUCACUUGAACCCGGGAGGCGGAGGUUUCAGUGGGCCGAGAUCGUGCCACUGCACUCCAGCCUGGGCGACAGAGUGAGAUUCCGUCUCAAAAAACAAAACAAAACAAAACAAAAUCUGUCUACUUGGGAGUAGCAGGCCUGGAUGGGCUAGCAGGAUGUCCCACCCCUAGAGGAGUCAGGUGUGUGGGUGGUGGUGGUGUAGGGUCUGAAGAACACUGCAUAGCUAUCUACAUGAGCUUCCCUUAGGGACACUUGAGCUUGUGCCCUUUGCUUAAAUCAACUUCCCUCUUUCUUUCAGGAUGGCUGGCAUUGGCAUCAGGGAAGGUAGGAAGGCUUUACUCUUCUGGUGUGGGGUGGGGAGGGGAGAUGUUGAAGCCACCACCCCCUUCGGAAUAGGAAGGAAGGAGAAAGAGCCCAAACAUCCCAUUAGGUGGGAACAUUCCCAUUCAUUAGAUGCCUCUUCCCCAGUGGGACCUUCUGUCAGCCCCAGGUGAGAUUGCAGCUGGUGAUUUAUUGAGAAACUUCCAGGUUGAGUAGGCUUCAUUCAGGGCAUGUCUCUCCCCCAGGCCCCAUCUUCAUACACUUCCGCUAAGAUGCCCACAAUUCAUCCCCCUUCAUGUGCAGCUUGAAAAACCCUGACAUUGUUGCUCCCUGCCGGGCAUACCUACCAUUGCCACUGCCCAUCUCUGUGAUGAGGAAUUCAACACCAGAUCUCUGGCAGCUCUUGAGGGAUUGGCCAGUGGCCAUUCUCAGGGGUGCUGUCUAGUUUUCCCAGAGCCCCGCCAAGGUCCUGGCCACCGUGGCAGAGCGGGGAGGUUCCCCCACUCUAAAGCCUGCUCCUUCUCUCUCUAGCCUCUUCAGGAGGUGGUGGUAGCAGCAGCAAUUUCCACAUCAACGUAGAAGAGUCAGUGGAUGGAAAGGUGGUUUCUUCCCGCAAGAGAGAAAUCUAAGUGUCCAUUGCAGGAGAAACGUCCCUCGCCACUCCCCACUCUCAUCAGGCCAAGUGGAGGACUGGCCAGAGGGCCUGCACAUGCAAACUCCAGUCCCUGCCUUCAGAGAGCUGAAAAGGGUCCUUCGGUCUUUUAUUUCAGGGCUUUGCAUGCGCUCUAUUCCCCCUCUGCCUCUCCCCACCUUCUUUGGAGCAAGGAGAUGCAGCUGUAUUGUGUAACAAGCUCAUUUGUACAGUGUCUGUUCAUGUAAUAAAGAAUUACUUUUCCUUUUGCAAAU
rnacentral:sRNA from 1 species